ACGAGACUCAUCCGAGGCCUCGUAAUCGGAAUGAGUACACUUUAAAUCCUUUAACAAAAAUCCAUUGGAGGGCAAGUCUGGUGCCAGCAGCCGCGGUAAUUCCAGCUCCAAUAGCGUAUAUUAAAGUUGUUGCGGUUAAAAAGCUCGUAGUCGAAUCUGUGUCCCGCGCUGUCGGUUCACCGCUCGCGGUGUUCAACUGGCAUGUUUUGCGGGACGUCCUACCGGUGGGUCCCAAUGGCAAUCCUGUCGCGGUGCACUUAACUGUGUGUCGAGGUGGGCCGGUACGUUUACUUUGAACAAAUUAGAGUGCUUAAGGCAGGCUCAAAUUUCGCCUGAAUAUUGUGUGCAUGGAAUAAUGGAAUAGGACCUCGGUUCUAUUUUGUUGGUUUUCGGAACUCCGAGGUAAUGAUUAAUACGGACAGAUGGGGGCAUUCGUAUUGCGACGUUAGAGGUGAAAUUCUUGGAUCGUCGCAAGACGGACAGAAGCGAAAGCAUUUGCCAAAAAUGUUUUGAUUGAUCAAGAACGAAAGUUAGAGGUUCGAAGGCGAUCAGAUACCGCCCUAGUUCUAACCAUAAACGAUGCCAACUAGCGAUCCGCCGAAGUUCCUCCGAUGACUCGGCGGGCAGCUUCCGGGAAACCAAAGCUUUUGGGUUCCGGGGGAAGUAUGGUUGCAAAGCUGAAACUUAAAGGAAUUGACGGAAGGGCACCACCAGGAGUGGAGCCUGCGGCUUAAUUUGACUCAACACGGGAAACCUCAC
rnacentral:rRNA from 1 species